GUAAUGGCAGAGGAAGAUACUAUGAUCAUGAAGAUGCUUUUCCCACGGCGCGGCUUAUCCAUUGCCCUCUGGACGUGCUGACCCCUGCAAUGUCCCCAAAUGUGGGAAACUUGACUGCACAAUUUGUGGUAGUGGGGGACUGCGUUCAAGCUCUCCCCUG